rnacentral:rRNA from 1 species
AUUGAACGCUGGCGGAAUGCUUUACACAUGCAAGUCGAGCGGCAGCGCGGCCUUCGGUCUCGCGUCGAGCGGCCAACGGGCGAGUAAUGCAUCGGAACAUGCCCAGCUGCGGGGGAUAACACUUCAAAAGAGGUGCUAAUACCGCAAUCGUCCAGACGGGGAAAGCGGGGGAUCGCAAGACCUCGCGCCAUUGGAGUGGCCGAUGUCCGAUUAGCUAGUUGGCGGGGUAAAGGCCCACCAAGGCGACGAUCUGUAGCUGGUCUGAGAGGAUGAUCAGCCACACUGGGACUGAGACACGGCCCAGACUCCUACGGGAGGCAGCAGUGGGGAAUUUUGGACAAUGGGCGCAACCCUGAUCCAGCCAUUCCGCGUGAGUGAAGAAGGCCUUCGGGUUGUAAAGCUCUUUCGGCAGGAACGAAACGGUGGGCUCUAACAUAGUGCGCUAAUGACGGUACCUGAAGAAGAAGCACCGGCUAACUACGUG